rnacentral:rRNA from 1 species
AACGAACGCUGGCGGCAUGCCUAACACAUGCAAGUCGAACGAGAUCUUCGGGUCUAGUGGCGCACGGGUGCGUAACGCGUGGGAAUCUGCCCUUUGGUUCGGAAUAACAGUUGGAAACGACUGCUAAUACCGGAUGAUGACGAAAGUCCAAAGAUUUAUCGCCAGAGGAUGAGCCCGCGUAGGAUUAGCUAGGUGGUGUGGUAAAGGCGCACCAAGGCGACGAUCCUUAGCUGGUCUGAGAGGAUGAUCAGCCACACUGGGACUGAGACACGGCCCAGACUCCUACUGGAGGCAGCAGUGGGGAAUAUUGGACAAUGGGCGAAAGCCUGAUCCAGCAAUGCCGCGUGAGUGAUGAAGGCCUUAGGGUUGUAAAGCUCUUUUACCCGGGAUGAUAAUGACAGUACCGGGAGAAUAAGCUCCGGCUAACUCCGUGCCAGCAGCCGCGGUAA